rnacentral:sRNA from 1 species
UGCGCCUGUGGCGGAUCAGGCACGGAUUUAAGGAAUAAAGGCUUCGCAGGCAGCCGGUCCGUGUACGGUCUUGUACUUCCAAGUAUUUACUUGGAUUUAAGGAUUUCU